UGAGAUAUGUAUGUGAUAAACUUGUAAACAUAGGUGUCAUAUUGAUAUGUUGGCCCUGUGUAAGUUGUAAUAGUUCAGCCUGGCGAACCUCUGUUAUCAAGCAGGUUGUUAUUACGUAUCUACAAUGAACAAGUAAACACCUAAAGGAACAGCCUGCGUGUAUUUACCAUCACGUAACAAAUACUGGAUUCGAUGCAGAAUGGCGCAAACAUCAUCUGAUGAGCUUUCAAAAAUCAUGUAGUAUGCACUGAAAGAAGUGGUUGAUGUAACGAGAGAAAUAGCAGACCUGAGCAUCGUGCCUAAAUUACAAAGACCGUUGGUAGAUACACGUGACCACAUCCGAUGUCUUGUGAAAGUUCAUAACAGCAGUGCAACAAGCAUAGAGAGGUCCUGGGAUGAAGCCAUCAGGAGGAUUACAGAACAUCCUCCUGGUCAGUUGUUUGCUGAUGAUGCAGAGGACGUUGCAGCAACACCAGAGGCAGCAGCAUCCUCUGCAUCAUCACAAGGACAAAAGAGAUGCCGAACAAAAGAGGUGCAGGCCACAGACAGGCAGAAGAGGAAGAAAACUGCUGAAGAUGUAUAUACAAUUCAGCAUGCCUACUUUGAGAGAGAGAUGGUUAAGACCGAACUACAGAUCACCCUUUUAAAGAAAAUUCUUGAAAAUUUUGAAGGUCAGCAAGACACUGUCAGCCAUCUAGCUGCUUUGUCUCAUUAGCUGAAUAUUGCUUACAUGCUAAUGAUACAAAACAGACAGAAUGCUGUCAAUCUUGUCUGAUCAUUGUAGUUAUCCCUUGCUCAGCGUUAGUUAAA